rnacentral:rRNA from 1 species
CGGUAAUACCGGCAGCUCRAGUGGUCGUCGCUUUUAUUGGGCCUAAAACGUCCGUAGCCUGUUUGGUAAAUCUGUGGGUAAAUCAACCAGCUUAACUGGUUGAAUUCUGCAGAGACUGCCAGACUAGGGACCGGGAGAGGUGUGGGGUACUCUAGGGGUAGGGGUAAAAUCCUGUCAUCCUUAGAGGACCACCAGUUGCGAAGGCGCCACACURGAACGGAUCCGACGGUCAGGGACGAAGCCUAGGGGCACGAACCGGAUUAGAUACCCGGGUAGUCCUAGGUGUAAACGCUGUGAACUUGGUGUCGGGRGUCCGCAAKGGGYCCCCGGUGCCGGAGUGAAGAUGUUAAGUUCACUGCCUGGGGAGUACGGUCGCAAGGCUGCGGUAAUACCGGCAGCUCRAGUGGUCGUCGCUUUUAUUGGGCCUAAAACGUCCGUAGCCUGUUUGGUAAAUCUGUGGGUAAAUCAACCAGCUUAACUGGUUGAAUUCUGCAGAGACUGCCAGACUAGGGACCGGGAGAGGUGUGGGGUACUCUAGGGGUAGGGGUAAAAUCCUGUCAUCCUUAGAGGACCACCAGUUGCGAAGGCGCCACACURGAACGGAUCCGACGGUCAGGGACGAAGCCUAGGGGCACGAACCGGAUUAGAUACCCGGGUAGUCCUAGGUGUAAACGCUGUGAACUUGGUGUCGGGRGUCCGCAAKGGGYCCCCGGUGCCGGAGUGAAGAUGUUAAGUUCACUGCCUGGGGAGUACGGUCGCAAGGCUG